rnacentral:rRNA from 1 species
CUUGGUGAUUAUUGCGCCUGUGACCCACCCGAUCCCAUCUCGAACUCGGCCGUGAAACCAGGUAGCGCCGAUGGUACUAGUGCCUAAGCACUGGAAGAGUAGGUCGUCGCCAGGC